AAUUAAACAUUGGGGUGCCGAGUGGCUGAGAUCAUACCCGUUGAACCUGACUUGGACAAUACCAGCGCAGGAAAUAUAUAACUAAGCUUG
rnacentral:ncRNA from 2 species